AGGUUGAGCGAUUGGGUCGGAUUGCCCAAUGUUUGACAUGUGGAUCCUUGAAACGGGUAAAAAAAACCUGGUUUCUUUGGCCAAAACGACACCGUUUUAUUGAUCCUAUAAAAGCCUACCCUCAAGCAUUUCUCUUCAUUUUACCGUUUCCUCCUCUCUCUCUACACUCAGCUUUCUCUCCCUCUCUCUCUAAGGACAGAAGAAUGAAGGAUGGAAACUUCAAAAGUUUCCAGAUUUUGGCAUCGGCUCUGUCGCUCCCCGCCACCUGUGUCGUCGUACUCUGCCACUGUCCGAUAAUCGCCCCUCCCACCGUCGGAUCUUCGCCAACUUUCAGUAUAUGAUUUCUUUCGUCAAGCUCCACGUCUUCACCGUUCAGAUUUUCCAAAAGUCGCACCAACAAUCGCCUAUCACCGUCGCUGCCAGGGGGUUUCUGGUUUUCUCUUUUUUUGUUUUGUUUAAUCCUCUACUUUUAGUUUCUGAUCUUUGGUUUCUGAUUUUGUCACAUUUCUGAAUUGAUGUUGACGUGAUUAUUCAACAAGAAGCUGAAUGUAGUGGCAAGUUUCGAUUCUUGUAGCUGGUAGCUUCUAUAUGUGUUAGUGCAAAGGGGUUUCAAUGGGUGGAGAUAAUGUUUGUGUUGGUAGAGCUCAGUGAGGGCUCUGUAUGUGUGCUGUUACUUUUUGACGAUGGAACGAGAUUCUUUUUUUGGGCUACAGGGUUGCAAUCAGAAUGAAGGUCGCUUCUGAUUGUUUGUUGGAAUUGAACUUGGGGCUUUGGUAGGGUGUGCUGCGUACCACCUUGGUUUCAGCGUGAUAGAUUUGUGGAUGAUGAGAUGAUUUUGCUCUGCUUUUUAUUUUUUUGUUUCAUGGAGUCUUCUGAGUGAUUGCUGGGUGUUCUGGAUUUGUAUGGGUUCCUAGAGUCUAGGCUGAAUUAUUGCUAUGAUGAUCACUGCUAAGUCUAGAGUUUGGUGUAUCUUAGGCUGAAUCUAAUUGUUUAAGGUUACUAGAUGACUAUAGGUUUCGGUUGGGACUUAGGAUUAUUAAAGGCUUGUACUGGAUGACUGUGGGUUUCGGUCGGGAUUAGGAUCGGGAUUGUUCUGGUAGGGAUGGCUGGAUGGUCGUGGGAUGGUGGGCAGUGGUUGUGGGAUUGCGUUGGCCUCUAGGGAUUAUCGAUUUCAGUCGAGGUAGUGAACUAUGGUCUUGAAUUUUGGAGUUGGAGGUACUGGUGGUAAAAAGAGGUUAAGCCAUUGUGUGUAGGUAGGGGCUGACUGGUUUUUUUUUUUCGUUCCCUGUGUAUUCAUUGUUGAUAU